GGCUGGGGGUUGCAGACCAGCGCUGUGGAGCAGGAGGGACAGCCGAGUGGCGCCGCUGAUCCUGACUGUCCCAUAUUUUAAAACCUGGCUGGAAAUUGUCUUUGAAAAAGGAUCCCUCCCCACCCCCACCUCCCCUACGGCACAAACAGAAAUCGAGGUGUGACGCAUUCCCAGACCGUCCCCCAAACUCAACACCAGCAACUUCUCUGUGACUGGGUCCAGAUAAAGGUCCUUUCAAGACUGACGUCACUGGAUCUACUCCACCAGGUCUUCCUGACCCUACUGUAUCACUGUAGUGUUUCUGGCGAGACUGCCCGCACCAACAGAAGACUCACCGGAUCCACCAGCACAUCUUUCACCAGCAAGCAUCUUACCAGCAGAGCACAGCCUCUGUAUGAUUCUGCCUCCAGCUGACACUGACAGGAAAAGGCAUCCGGCUUGGAUUAGAGGCCUGGCUUUCUUUAGAAGGAGCUAUUCUGUGAUCUGUGCUGCUACCACUGUCGAUAUCCCUUGCUUCUUGCUUCCAUGGGAAGCAUGAGUCUAUUGGAACUUGGGACAAGAAGAAAUCAAGGUAUCUCUACUACAGAGCCCAGACACUAAACACAUGUCCCAAACUCUGAAGAGCCAGGACACAAACAUGAGUGACAGUGGCUACAGGGAUCCUGUGGAAGACUCUCAAAACGUUUUGGGAAAUGAUCCAUCAGUAAACUCUCAAGCACAGGACCCCAUAGUCACACCGAGUAACACUGUGGAAGCCCAGACCCUACAUCCCACAUCUGAUCUUAAGGAAGACCAUCAUGAAAUAGGG
rnacentral:lncRNA from 1 species